UUAAUAAUGUAACCCUUGCUUGUGUAAUUCGGUGCAAAAUUUCUCAUGUGUCCUCAUUUACAGAUUUGGAGAGGUGACGCACAUUUUAUGCAAGCUGUGGCAAUUGCAAUUUGCAGUGAAAAAAACUUAUCAAAAGGUCUCUAAAGAUAUCACCGACCAUAAAAUGAAAAAAUCAUUGGAGAUUGGCUUAACCAAGCACACACAAGAGUUGUUUGUUGUCCUAGGCCGGUGCCAAAUUUAACAUCAUAGC